rnacentral:rRNA from 1 species
GAUGAACGCUGGCGGCGUGCCUAAUACAUGCAAGUCGAACGGGAGACCUCAUUUCGAUGGGGUUGAGAGUGGCGCACGGGUGAGGAACACAUGGCUGACCUGCCCUUCAGAGGGGGAUAACGGCUGGAAACGGCUGCUAAUACCCCAUACGCUCCUUGGGAUUAGAGGCCUGAGGAGGAAAGCCUUCGGGUGCUGAAGGAGGGGGCUGUGGCCCAUCAGCUUGUUGGUAGGGUAACGGCCUACCAAGGCGACGACGGGUAGGGGCCUGAGAGGGUGACCCCCCACACUGGGACUGAGACACGGCCCAGACUCCUACGGGAGGCAGCAGUAAGGGAUCUUGCGACAAUGGGCAAAGCCUGACGCAGCAACGCCGCGUGCGGGAGACGGCCUUGGGUGUAAACCGCUUUUCGGGGGAAGAGGAAGGACGGUACCCCGGAAGAAGUCUCGGCUAACUACGUG